GAUCAUGGCUCAGGAUGAACGCUGGCGGCGUGCUUAACACAUGCAAGUCGAACGAAGCAAUUUAACGGAAGUUUCGGAUGGAAGCUAGAUUGACUGAGUGGCGGACGGGUGAGUAACGCGUGGGUAACCUGCCUCACACUGGGGGACAACAGUUAGAAAUGACUGCUAAUACCGCAUAAGCGCACAGGACCGCAUGGUCCGGUGUGAAAAACUCCGGUGGUGUGAGAUGGACCCGCGUUUGAUUAGCUAGUUGGUGGGGUAACGGCCUACCAAGGCGACGAUCAAUAGCCGACCUGAGAGGGUGACCGGCCACAUUGGGACUGAGACACGGCCCAGACUCCUACGGGAGGCAGCAGUGGGGAAUAUUGCACAAUGGAGGAAACUCUGAUGCAGCGACGCCGCGUGAGCGAAGAAGUAUUUCGGUAUGUAAAGCUCUGUCAGCAGGGAAGAUAAUGACGGUACCUGACCAAGAAGCCCCGGCUAACUACGUG
rnacentral:rRNA from 1 species